UUCAGGAAAAAAUUUGAUCAAAAUUCCCGCCCCCCCUAUUGCUGAACCGAAUAAAGUUUUUGAAAGACUUUUGUGUCAUGAAAAAAUGAACCUAAUGGUGGGGGAUAAGGGGGUGGGGGGGUGUGGGGGUGUGGGGGGGGGUGUAGAUCAGGGCUGAGAAAGUAUAAUAUCAGCAAACUGGUCUGGUAUGAGAUUUGGACAUGAGGACCAAAGCAGAUGGAUGUACCCUAUAAUUUCCUAAACCCACAAUUUUCCCCCAAUAACAGAUCCCGAAUA